rnacentral:rRNA from 1 species
UACAGAGGUCUCAAGCGUUGUUCGGAUUCAUUGGGCGUAAAGGGUGCGUAGGUGGCGGGGUAAGUCAGGUGUGAAAUUUCGGAGCUUAACUCCGAAACUGCAUUUGAUACUGCCUUGCUUGAGGACUGGAGAGGAGACUGGAAUUCACGGUGUAGCAGUGAAAUGCGUAGAUAUCGUGAGGAAGACCAGUGGCGAAGGCGGGUCUCUGGACAGUUCCUGACACUGAGGCACGAAGGCCAGGGGAGCAAACAGG